rnacentral:tRNA from 1 species
CCUCUCAUGGCGUAGUGGUAACGCAAUCCAACUAGACAUCGGGAAGUCGAGAGUUCGAUUCUCACUGAGAAGA